GUAGGUGGCAAGCGUUGUCCGGGAAUUAUUGGGGCGUAAAGCGCGCGCAGGCGGUUCUUUAAGUCUGAUGUGAAAGCCCACGGGCUCAACCGUGAGGGCCAUUGGAAACUGGAGAACUUGAGUACAGAAGAGGAAAGCGGAAUUCCACGUGUAGCGGUGAAAUGCGUAGAGAUGUGGAGGAACACCAGUGGCGAAGGCGGCUUUCUGGUCUGUAACUGACGCUGAGGCGCGAAAGCGUGGGGAGCAAACAGGAUUAGAUACCCUGGUAGUCCACGCCGUAAACGAUGAGUGCUAAGUGUUAGGGGGUUUCCGCCCCUUAGUGCUGCAGCUAACGCAUUAAGCACUCCGCCUGGGGAGUACGGCCGCAAAGGCUGA
rnacentral:rRNA from 1 species